UUCUAUGCUUGAAAAAUCUGAUCUUAUGAUUCGAACUUAUACUAAGUUCAGAAAUAAAAGUAAGAAAAUUUAAGCUAGAAUACGUGUUUAUUGAAAAGACGAACUUACAUUUUUUCCUAGCUUACGUGAGAAAAUUUUUUAAGAAAUUUUAGUAAGUUUAAGACCAGAAUUUAAGCCAAGGCUAGAAUACGGCCCCUGCAGCAAAAUAUUUUUU